rnacentral:rRNA from 1 species
GAUGAACGCUGUCGGCGUGCCUAAUACAUGCAAGUCGAGCGAAUGGAUUAAGAGCUUGCUCUUAUGAAGUUAGCGGCGGACGGGUGAGUAACACGUGGGUAACCUGCCCAUAAGACUGGGAUAACUCCGGGAAACCGGGGCUAAUACCGGAUAACAUUUUGAACCGCAUGGUUCGAAAUUGAAAGUCGGCUGCGGCUGUCACUGAUGGAUGGACCAGCGUCGCAUUAGCCAGUUGGGGAGGUAACGGCUCACCAAGGCAACGAUGCGGAGCCGACCUGAGAGGGUGAUCGGCCACACUGGGACUGAGACACGGCCCAGACUCCUACGGGAGGCAGCAGUAGGGAAUCUUCCGCAAUGGACGAAAGUCUGACGGAGCAACGCCGCGUGAGUGAUGAAGGCUUUCGGGUCGUAAAACUCUGUUGUUAGGGAAGAACAAGUGCUAGUUGAAUAAGCUGGCACCUUGACGGUACCUAACCAGAAAGCCACGGCUAACUACGUGCCAGCCGCCGCGGUAA